UGGGGAAUUGUUCGCAAUGGGCGCAAGCCUGACGACGCAACGCCGCGUGGAGGAUGAAGAUCUUCGGGUCGUAAACUCCUUUCGAUCGAGACGAACGACUUCCGGGUAACAUCCGGGAGAGUGACGGUACCGAGAGAAGAAGCCCCGGCUAACUCCGUGCCAGCAGCCGCGGUAAUACGGGGGGGGCAAGCGUUGUUCGGAAUUACUGGGCGUAAAGGGCUCGUAGGUGGCCAACUAAGUCAGACGUGAAAUCCCUCGGCUUAACCGGGGAACUGCGUCUGAUACUGGAUGGCUUGAGUUUGGGAGAGGGACGCGGAAUUCCAGGUGUAGCGGUGAAAUGCGUAGAUAUCUGGAGGAACACCGGUGGCGAAGGCGGCGUCCUGGACCAACACUGACACUGAUGAGCGAAAGCCAGGGGAGCAAACGGGAUUAGAUACCCGGUAGUCC
rnacentral:rRNA from 1 species